GGGUGUAGUUCACGGUAGAAGGCCGGCCGGCCGGGUACGGAAGCGGAGGACGGCCUGUAUGUUGGGCUCUGGGCCGUGGCGGAUGUGCCCGUUUUCACGAAACCACCCACCGUCCAGGAAGGGCGGUGCCAAGCGGAUUCACAGCGGAACAGCCUCCCCCCUUCCCGGUUAACAGAAAUAACGGAGAAAGCUCCGGCCGUCCCCGUCCCCUGGCACCCGCGUAGUACGUCUUUUUAGCCGGAUUGAGCGUCCGGAAAGCAGCAAAUUAGCGCUUGUCAGGAUGAAAUCCACAACGGCGUUCGCGGUGUGUUACCGAAGAGGCCCUCCCACUUCCAUUUAAGCAUCAGGACAACACCCCUGUUCUGCUGUGCCCGCGUGCCUCCGCUGCUCCCAGCACGUCGUCGCCGCCUGGAAGGCCACCGAAAACCAGCCACUAUUUUGUUCUCAACCUUGCUGCAGAAGCGUGUGCGGGCGGCGUGCAUUUGUCACUGGACCAAGUGGCGUCAGUGUGUCUCUUAAAGAUGACUGGUCAAAACGUAGGGAAACUACCUUCAGUGCACGUACUCGUACAAGGAGAACAACAACAGAACCAAGCAAAUGACAGAACAACUCAUCCCGCAGUGACGCAUGAGAGUACCUUGACCUCGAGGAGGUAGAUGAAGACAAGAGGAGAUGCCUGCAGUGUGCGUGCGUGCAGUCCACUAGCUAGCUUUGAAGACGACGAUGCGAUCCUAAGAGUCGAGGAAGACCUUUCCAGUGGCGCUAAGUGGAGGGUGCAGCACACCAUAAAGAUCCAAGGCUCAACUCUUCCUGCCCUGAUUGAUGACCUCACGGUGCCAUUUUGCAUACAUGUGAUCAUCACGUGUGUCAUCACAGCACAUACAACAUGAUGUGCUCUCUUACAUAUCGUGCUCCCACGCUAUAUCGCGGUUCAUCCUUCGUGACUCUGCUCUAUCACGGAUUUGUAAGUGAUCUUUUUUUUAAUGGGUUUGAACAGUGUACAGUAAAUCCCCUUUUAUUGCGCACGAAACAUUCCAGACCUACCCGUGUUAUAAAGACAGAAUAUAAAAAAAAAACAUUUAAAAGGUAGUUAUUUGUCACUCCCAGGUGAAGUUUAUGGGAAAACUGACGCAUCAAAUUUUAAAAAGACAUUGUAACAUAAAACACUUUAUAUUAUAAACCACAAUGUUCAACCAAACCAUAUCAUUUGGUUAAACUGUGCUAGCUUACUGCUAACGUAACAUGUAACACCAACACACACGGAGCAGCAACACACACAAACAGAGCAUACAGUAAGAGAAUUAAACGUUGCGGGAAAAUCAUGAACCAAACUAUACAGUUUUGUCUAAUGAACGUCAGCUAGCUUAAUGCUGACAUACAAUGUGAAACGCCAUCGAUGGGCUAAUGGAAAUGAGCAUAAAUGUUGCAGUGACUAUAAAUCUUCAGCAUCGCAUACCACAAAAGUUAAUUAAGCAUUGUAUAGUUAAGCCCAUCAAAAUGUUCAACCAAACCGUACAGAAGAGGCAGAGAAUUUCCCCACUGUGAGCAAUGUUUUAUGCUCUGCUUGUAUGUGAUGCUGCUCCAUGUGUUAAAGUAGCAGUUGUUUAACGGUUUAUAGUUACCGUGGCAUCAGUGCUAAUGUCUACGAGCCAGUCUAUGACGUUUCACAUUAUAUGUCAGCAUGAAGCUAGCAAAAAUUCAAUUAGUGCAUAUGGUUUGGUUGAACGUUUUGGUUAUUAAAUUGACAAUCAUGUUUAAAUCUCUUUGUUUUAUAUGUCAGUUUUGCAGUAAACUUGAACUUCUCUCGGAGUGAUGAAUAAACAGCAAGCACACUUAGCCUCGUAUUUGGAGCACUGUGUAAGUAUGAGAGUGAAAACAGGCGCUAAAAAUACUUUUAAAAGUGUUUUAAUGAGUUAAAUAUGUUAAAGUGUGUUGGAUUGGUUAAACUAUUUAAAAAAUAAGCUCUCUAUAUUGCAGAUUUUCACCUGUUGCAAGUUGGUUUGGAAUGUAUCCCCCGUGAUAAAUGGGGGAAUCACUGUACAACCAUUGCUUCCUCACACUGCUUUUUCUUUGAGGAAUAAAUUAACAAUUUGUUGCACGGCAAUUUGCAUGAAAAAGCGGGCGGGCGGUUUCCAGUCAAUUUAACAGCAGGUCAUCUCUAGCCCGGCCUCCUCCUGCUCUCUUCGCCCUUAAAUGUGAUGGCAGGCAUUGUGGCGAGGUGAAGCGCAAUGUGUGGGAGGUGCAGGAGUUAACCAAGAAUAUAGAAUGAAUGGUGUGGGUGUGUUAGCAUACAGGCUAUUAAUCUGCAUUCACAUUAUGCUAAGCUAGUUGGUGUUUGAUGGGCUGGGCACAAAAACAUUUUUUUGUUUUGUGUUUUACUAUCAUGCUGUAAUGUAUUCUUUUAUGUACAAGUAUCUUUGCUCUUUGGCAAAGAGUAUUGACAAACGGAUUAAAAGGUUCACUGCAAUUCCAUCAUUUGUUGCUAAAA